UUAAAUUCUAAAACCUUCUCCACGCUCUUUGUGUGUGCGCGAUGUCUGCGUAUAUUUUUGUCGACUUUUCAACUUGGCGAUUGCGAAUGCGAUGGUGUUGGUGGUGGUGCCGGUGACGCGGCACCACCGUUUGGUGGUGCGGUGGCUCGGUGGUGCGGUGUGCAUUUGAAAUAUGGUCGCUUGUGCCACAAAUAAAUAACGCUUUCAAAUCGCUCGCAAGUGGAUUCAGCAGCAUUUCAGUGUGCCAACGCUUGUGUGUGUCUGUGUGUGUGUCUGGGAGGAAUUGUUGUUGGUCUGCUGCUAGUUAAGCACUCGCCCACACACACAUAAGCACGAUUUAAUAUGAGAACUAGUGGGCAACAAAGCGCAGAUGACUAAACAAGAGACACAGAUACAAAGUAACUCGCACGGACAUUCAGAUACAAAACACACAUGGACUUUCCAAAUUCAGACAUUACUUCUCUUUGAAAAAUAGAUACACUGGUAAUUUAAACUUAAUGUAUUAUUUUUAAAACCAAUUUACGAAAAAUCCGGAAAAAACACGCGCAGAUGCAAAUUAUUUCACAUAAAUCGAAAUGGAUUUAUAGGUUUAAUUUUUCGUUUAAUUUAAUACAGAUGCAAAAUGAUCUUUUCAAGAAUACCUUUUCGUGCCACAAAUGUGCUAUAUAAACCCAAUUGUAGCCAAACUUUAAGGGCCGUUGAAUGGUUUAAUCUGAUACCAAGUUAUGCCCUUCAGACAGCUGACAACUUUUGGUGAACAACUUCGAAAUGAAAUCAGACAUCCUUAAGUUGCCCCAAAAGCUUGCAAGCGCACAUUGAGUUGAGGGACACAAAAUAACAAUUAAACAUCAAGCUGACAAACUUUGCAACAGCAAACAAACAAGCUACAUGCUAGAUGUAGCAAAUACCGGAAUUAUACCCAUAUAAGUACGUAUGUAUGUGCAUAUAUGUGGAGCAGCAGUUAUAUGGCCGCAGAAGACGCGCAAACUUCGCGCCAGGAUAAGCCCAAGUUGUAAGUGGAAGGACUCAGGACUCAAGCCUCAGGGCGGGAAAACUUUGUCAGCGCGAACGUGACAUGAAAAUCGCUGAGCUGAUGAAAAAUGCUAAAUCGUGACGGGAAUCCCCAAGCCGCAGAGACACACUUGCAACUUUGGCAGCUCUUGCUGGCGGACGCGAAUGCGACACAUGGGUCGAGCCUACGGCAAUAAUAGACCUCCACGACAAUAAAGCAAAAAGAGAAAUAAUCUUAAAAUAUCCUCGGGUAGAUCCUAUAGAACACCACAAUGCUAACAAUAUUAUAUUAUAUAUAAUUUAUUAUAAUUAAUUAUAUAAUUCCAUAAGAGAUACUAUAAUGGUCUUGAAACAGAUUUCAUGCAAAAGGUUGGCAAUUCAGAGAAAACUUUCUUCUGGGAGAUCCAUGAAACUCGAGAUCGCCCGUCGUCACCAGGGAGUGGAAAAUCGGGAGUGAGCAGUCCGGCGCGAGAUGCCAACUCCCGGCAAGUGUGCCUAUAUUUGGGCCACAACUCCGCGCCGACUAAUGGCUUCAUUUGGUCCGAUGUUGGGCCAAUGCAACAGCAACAGCCAGUGCAACUGCAACUGCCCCCGGACACUUGAUGCCCAUGCAGAGCGGAGCACUCGAUGCACUCGGUGUGCUCGAUGCACUUGACUCCGCCGCUGCAGCGAUGUGGUCGUUUAAAAAUAUCACAAGACGAUCCCGCGUUGAACGUCGCUUUCGCUCACGACAUCGCUGCGUUGGCAGCUAAAAAUAGCGGACAAAAUGUAUCUGGCUGUGUGUAUCUUCGAGUGCAGUGUGCAUCUACGAUUACGUGUGCGCCCCUCCACGGCUCCCCCUGGAUCUCCUGGACCGGGAUGUCGCCCAUCCCUCAGAGUUGGUCUUCCGCCUAGACAAAAGGCUAAUGCACUUUCGGGCAAGCUGAUCCGAUGGCCAACGCAUCGGGAAGAGAUUUUGGUUGAUUUAUAAUGAGCCAGCACACUCGGCUACCUAAUUGCUCACUAAGUGGCAAAUGUGUUCGAUGAUGAACAGGCUGUCAACCGGCAAACGCAGCAUGUGGGGAAAUCGCUGGAAAUUGGAAAUUAUUAGGGGUGCUGACCAUGUGGGUGGUCCAGAGAAAACCCUGUGAAGAAUGCAGACACACGGAAUAAUGUCAGUUUACCUGCGUUCAGAACUAUGAAUAAAUCGGCAGUAUUAU
ensembl:ncRNA lncRNA:CR43234 long non-coding RNA:CR43234